rnacentral:rRNA from 1 species
GCUUACGGCCAUACCAGCCUGGGUACGCCCGAUCUCGUCUGAUCUCGGAAGCUAAGCAGGGUCGGGCCUGGUUAGCACUUGGAUGGGAGACCGCCUGGGAAUACCAGGUGCUGUAAGCA